rnacentral:rRNA from 1 species
GGCGGCAGGCCUAAUACAUGCAAGUCGAGGGGUAUAUUUCUUUCGGGAGAUAGAGACCGGCGCACGGGUGCGUAACACGUAUGCAACCUGUCCACUACUGGGGGAUAGCCCGGGGAAACUCGGAUUAAUACCCCAUAACACAGUGAAAUCGCAUGGUUUGAUUGUUAAAGAGUUAUCGGUAGUGGAUGGGCAUGCGUCCGAUUAGCUAGUUGGUAGUGUAACGGACUACCAAGGCGACGAUCGGUAGGGGGUCUGAGAGGAUGAUCCCCCACACUGGUACUGAGAUACGGACCAGACUCCUACGGGAGGCAGCAGUAGGGAAUAUUGGGCAAUGGAGGCAACUCUGAUCCAGCCAUGCCGCGU